rnacentral:lncRNA from 1 species
UGACAGUCCUAACUCCUUGUUUCAAUUGCACCAUGGCUUAUUUUAAACACCUUCGUCCUGGCAGAAACAUGGCCACUUAGUCUUUCAGAGUCACCUAAUGAAAAACUCAUUUGGGCAUCCAAAGUUCAGUUAGAUAUUUGAAAGAACAGACAGGAACCUGGCCCAUCACUACACUGGGAGAAAGUAGACAUUAUUAGAGGAUGAGCUUCUACAAGACACAAGAGCACAGUGAUUGGCAUGAUCGUAUUCUUCUGCAGAGGCUGAAUAGGUGCACGAUUACCAAAACAUAACUAAAGCCAAGAUCACAUCUCAGCGAGUUGUAGACUAACCAAAGAAAUCUCCACAGGAUUUUUCUACCUUAAUUCAUC